CUAACCUGGCCUCUAGCUAUGUUGUGAUCUACAUAAAUAACAUGUGGGCUUAUAUCUAAACAUUCUCAGGAGCCAGUUGAGUUGUAAAAAAUGAAGGAUCGUGGAGUUGGCCUGGUUGGGGGCCAUGAUAAACAAGUCUGGGCCACACCCGUCAUAACAGUCCACUUUGUACGACCAAAGAGGUUCUAUCUCAAAACCAUAUGUCAAUGAGGGAAGUAGCUUCUUAGCCUUAUAAAGUGGACACACCUUUCUUAUUUCUUCAAUGUGGGAUACACAUCUCAAUACAAACUCUCAUUUAUAAACUCACCCAAUGUGGGACAACACACCACUCACAUGUGGGUUUUUUCAUGGUCUCAACAGGCCCAGCUUCGCUUCACCCUCAUAUCAAACUAUAUGCAUGUGAAAAUUACUUAUUAAUUUUUUUAAUUCAAUUGGCAGAACUCGCAAAUCAAGAAAUGGGUGAUUGCCAAGUGCGGACCUUAUGGUUCUCAGUGUCCUGAAAACAAUAGCUUUAAACAUCAAGAGGGUGAAAGCAUCAAAGAAGUGAUUAUAAGGUAUGGUUUUAUUGUGGAUGCAAUUGGAUUCGUCGUAGCUAACCCGUGUGGAGGUACCUACACUAAGAUGUUUGGUGGCAAUGACCCUCGCGCAAACGAGAGAAAGAUUGUACUCAAGUGCCGUGAAAAGAUAACUCAAAUAAGUGGAACCUAUGGUAACUACAAAUACCAAAACAAUGAAUGCCUUAUUGCCGCUAUGAAGAUCCACACCAAUUUAUGUCCAACCGGAUAUGGACCAUUUGGACAAGGAGAUGGAGUCGAUUGUCCCCGUAAUUUCUCAUCACCACUCCUACUUGACAACCCUAUUGUAGGAGUUUUUGGAAGGCACCACAACUAUCUUGAGUCCAUUGGACUUUUCUACAAAAAGUUGGAAUGAUCAUGCUCUUAAGUGUGGAUGUGAAGUGUUUGGCUAUCUUAAUAGCUAGCUACGUUCCAUCUUUCCGCUAAAUUUGCAGUGGUUCUGUACUUCUACGGUCAUCUAUAUUGACUAUGUAUGUUUUUUUUUUGUUUUUUUUGUUUUUUUUUUUAACGGACUAUGUAUG